rnacentral:lncRNA from 1 species
UAUCCCUAAGUACGCUAUGGCACCCAAUUCACCCUUAUAUGUCGGUAAUUGAUCAUAGAGAUUGAUUGCUGCAACCUUUUUAUGGCCGAACCUAGUGUUUCUGUGAGGGCCCAUGCAGGCAUGCGUUGAGUCCUAUAUUGGUUAUGCAGCGAGUAGAUCUUAGAUACUUAUACAAAUAUAAGGAAUCCAAAUAACAUCUUUUGGUUAGUAUUUUUGGAUGAGGUAUUAGAUUUUCACAGUUACCAAUGAUGGCCUACAUCAUAUUAUUUUACUCAAUUAGUAUUUUCACUACAGGUAAAUGCAAUGGAUGCAUUGGCAAAGUGGCGACCACUGAGCCUGUGUUCAAAAUGAUGCUCAAGUUCAGAAGAUGUUUUGAUGGAGUUAGGCGCCCUCUUCCGCCAAGUGUCUCACUUGGCACACUCUGGAUGAUUUCCUUCAGGCACUAAAUCAUGGGAAAAUGGAUGAAGGUAAGCAGCUGUCUUACCUUCUCUGCUUUGGUGCCUAUAGCAUCUGGUUCGCAAUCGCCAUAGCUUUGAAGCUGAGCACAUAUCAGCCCAAAGAAUUGUUACAGAUACUAUGAAUGUGUCUC